rfam:Trichobilharzia regenti genome assembly, scaffold: TRE_scaffold0006772
GUACUGUUGAGGAGUCUCAAACUAGGACGAAACAGCUGUUCAGUAC